AGGUCUCCGGCCCGGAUGUUGAGGGCGGUGGGAUCGUGGAGGUUCCAGUAAUCCUUCAGAGCUCUGACCUGCAAAACACCCGUCGCAUCUGAAGAGGAAACACAAACAGGAACGCGGCUCCGCCUGCAGACUCUGUGACCACGCGGGGCCUUUAUGUGGGGAAACUGAAGAGAACAGGACGGAGACGAAAGGACGCGCGCGGCCAAACUCGACUCUGCAGAUGAGGAUUUUUACAGAUCAGUGAUGAGGAGCCGAUAAAUGACCUCAGAGAGCAGUUCUGAAACUCCCAGGUGAGUACACCUGAGCUCAACUGAAGUUCAACUGAACCGAGGAGACAACACGAGUAAAACAAAACUUCAAGAAAGAAGAAAAAAUGUGGCAGCAGAAGCUGGUUUGGAUCUGUCCUGUCAUCAGAGGAAUGUCAUCAGGAGGGACGCCGACCCGCAGCGAUCAGCGUCGCUCCGUGUGGCUGAUCGCUGAGGAGCGGGAGCUGAGCACCAGCUGAUCGGGCGGAGGUUAACGCAAACACAGCAGCUGCAGGCGACAAGUCCCGGCAUCGCCGACGCACGUCUGUGCUCCCGUGUUUGUGGGGACGCCAUCUGUAGCCCACAGGGACAGAUCCCACCCUCCAGCAUCCUCGUGACCAAAGACAAGCGUCGUGAAAUCCUGAAAACGUCGAGUGUUCAGGAUUUCACGAUGCUUGUCACAGCUGUCUGUACCACAUCUGUGCUCCUCUGCAUGGUUUCCUCUUCUUUGUGAACUCUCCUGUUCAUCAAAUCACAGCAUCAUCGCCGGGGCUAUCUGCUGCUGCACACUGGGAAUACUGGGCCACUGGUUUAUGGAGGCUUUGAGGCAUUUUGGCUGCUGGGCUUUUGUGCAACGGCCGAAUUGGAGCGCUACGCUAUCGGCUAAUGCUAGCUGAUAACAGCACAUAACUGAUGAGUGCUCAGUAACAUCCAGUCACUCUGCAAACCCGGAGCUCAGCCUCGUUGGACCAUCUGUUAGCACGGGAACCUUUAAAAAAAGCUCCAACAGCACAAACACGUGACUUAGAACAAAGAUGGCUGACAGGAGGUCGUCUACAGAUCCAGUCUGAAAACAGAACGAUCCACCUGAUCAGAGCGGCUGGCAAAGCAAAAAAGUGCUACGUAUGUCUUCAGUUCAUCUUCUCUUUAACACCCCCUUCCUAAAAGCACACUACUGUCUUACUGGGCCACUUCUGGAAGCCUACAGAAGGGCAGUGCCAUGUAUCUGUGAGCUCUGCCUCUUCUGUGGAAAAAAAAAAACAUCCCUUUGUUUUUGGUCCUUUUUAUUCUUUAGCUUUUUUGUUACCGAUUAAUUUGAAUCCAUCACAUUUAUUUUUGUUGACUGUUUAGUCUAAAACUAAAAACAUUCACAGUAUCUGUGUAAAGUGCACGAGUCAUUUAUA